GUUUAUGGCCGUACUACCCUCAACACACCUAAUCACAUCUGAUCUCAGAAAGUAAGCAGGGUUGGGCCUCAUUAGUACCUGGAUGGGAGAGAGAAGAUGGUUUAUAAAAG
ensembl:rRNA 5S_rRNA 5S ribosomal RNA